AUUGAACGCUGGCGGCAGGCUUAACACAUGCAAGUCGAGCGGGGUGAUGGUGCUUGCACUAUCACUUAGCGGCGGACGGGUGAGUAAUGCUUAGGAAUCUGCCUAUUAGUGGGGGACGACAUCUCGAAAGGGAUGCUAAUACCGCAUACGUCCUACGGGAGAAAGCAGGGGAUCCCUUGUGACCUUGCGCUAAUAGAUGAGCCUAAGUCGGAUUAGCUAGUUGGUGGGGUAAAGGCCUACCAAGGCGACGAUCUGUAGCGGGGCUGAGAGGAUGAUCCGCCACACUGGGACUGAGACACGGCCCAGACUCCUACGGGAGGCAGCAGUGGGGAAUAUUGGACAAUGGGGGGAACCCUGAUCCAGCCAUGCCGCGUGUGUGAAGAAGGCCUUAUGGUUGUAAAGCACUUUAAGCGAGGAGGAGGCUCUUUUGGUUAAUACCCAAGAUGAGUGGACGUUACUCGCAGAAUAAGCACCGGCUAACUCUGUGCCAGCAGCCGCCGUAA
rnacentral:rRNA from 1 species